GUGAGGAAUAUUGGUCAAUGGGCGGGAGCCUGAACCAGCCAAGUCGCGUGAAGGAAGAAGGAUCUAUGGUUCGUAAACUUCUUUUGCAGGGGAAUAAAGUGCAGGACGUGUCCUGUUUUGUAUGUACCCUGAGAAUAAGGAUCGGCUAACUCCGUGCCAGCAGCCGCGGUAAUACGGAGGAUCCGAGCGUUAUCCGGAUUGAUUGGGUUUAAAGGGUGCGUAGGUGGUUUGAUAAGUCAGCGGUGAAAGUUUGCAGCUUAACUGUAAAAAUGCCGUUGAAACUGUCGGACUUGAGUGUAAAUGAGGUAGGCGGAAUGCGUGGUGUAGCGGUGAAAUGCAUAGAUAUCACGCAGAACUCCGAUUGCGAAGGCAGCUUACUAAGCUACAACUGACACUGAAGCACGAAAGCGUGGGGAUCAAACAGGAUUAGAUACCCGGGUAGUCC
rnacentral:rRNA from 1 species